rnacentral:rRNA from 1 species
GAUGAACGCUGGCGGCGUGCCUAAUACAUACAAGUCGAGCGAACAGAUGAGGAGCUUGCUCCUCUGACGUUAGCGGCGGACGGGUGAGUAACACGUGGAUAACCUACCUAUAAGACUGGGAUAACUACGGGAAACCGGAGCUAAUACCGGAUAAUAUAUUGAACCGCAUGGUUCAAUAGUGAAAGACGGUUUUGCUGUCACUUAUAGAUGGAUCCGCGCCGCAUUAGCUAGUUGGUAAGGUAACGGCUUACCAAGGCAACGAUCGGUAGCCGGACUGAGAGGUUGAACGGCCACAUUGGGACUGAGACACGGCCCAG